UGAUUCUUCGGAUGAAGAUCUAGGUGACUGAGUGGCGGACGGGUGAGUAACGCGUGGGUAACCUGCCUCAUACAGGGGGAUAACAGUUAGAAAUGACUGCUAAUACCGCAUAAGACCACAGCACCGCAUGGUGCAGGGGUAAAAACUCCGGUGGUAUGAGAUGGACCCGCGUCUGAUUAGGUAGUUGGUGGGGUAACGGCCUACCAAGCCGACGAUCAGUAGCCGACCUGAGAGGGUGACCGGCCACAUUGGGACUGAGACACGGCCCAAACUCCUACGGGAGGCAGCAGUGGGGAAUAUUGCACAAUGGGGGAAACCCUGAUGCAGCGACGCCGCGUGAGCGAUGAAGUAUUUCGGUAUGUAAAGCUCUAUCAGCAGGGAAGAAAAUGACGGUACCUGACUAAGAAGCACCGGCUAAAUACGUGCCAGCAGCCGCGGUAAUACGUAUGGUGCAAGCGUUAUCCGGAUUUACUGGGUGUAAAGGGAGCGUAGACGGAGUGGCAAGUCUGAUGUGAAAACCCGGGGCUCAACCCCGGGACUGCAUUGGAAACUGUCAAUCUAGAGUACCGGAGAGGUAAGCGGAAUUCCUAGUGUAGCGGUGAAAUGCGUAUGAUAUUAGGAGGAACACCAGUGGCGAAGGCGGCUUACUGGACGGUAACUGACGUUGAGGCUCGAAAGCGUGGGGAGCAAACAGGAUUAGAUACCCUGGUAGUCCACGCCGUAAACGAUGACUACUAGGUGUCGGGCAGCAA
rnacentral:rRNA from 1 species